GCGCGCGUAGGUGGUUAAUUAAGUCAAAUGUGAAAUCCCCGAGCUUAACUUGGGAAUUGCAUUCGAUACUGGUUAGCUAGAGUAUGGGAGAGGAUGGUAGAAUUCCAGGUGUAGCGGUGAAAUGCGUAGAGAUCUGGAGGAAUACCGAUGGCGAAGGCAGCCAUCUGGCCUAAUACUGACACUGAGGUGCGAAAGCAUGGGGAGCAAACAGGAUUAGAUACCCUGGUAGUCCAUGCCGUAAACGAUGUCUACUAGCCGUUGGGGGAUUUGAUCCUUUAGUGGCGCAGCUAACGCGAUAAGUAGACCGCCUGGGGAGUACGGUCGCAAGACUAAAACUCAAAUGAAUUGACGGGGGCCCGCACAAGCGGUGGAGCAUGUGGUUUAAUUCGAUGCAACGCGAAGAACCUUACCUGGCCUUGACAUAGUAGAGACUUUCCAGAGAUGGAUUGGUGCCUUCGGGAAUCUACAUACAGGUGCUGCAUGGCUGUCGUCAGCUCGUGUCGUGAGAUGUUGGGUUAAGUCCCGCAACGAGCGCAACCCUUUUCCUUACUUGCCAGCAUUUCGGAUGGGAACUUUAAGGAUACUGCCAGUGACAAACUGGAGGAAGGCGGGGACGACGUCAAGUCAUCAUGGCCCUUACGGCCAGGGCUACACACGUGCUACAAUGGUCGGUACAAAGGGUUGCUACACAGCGAUGUGAUGCUAAUCUCAAAAAGCCGAUCGUAGUCCGGAUCGCAGUCUGCAACUCGACUGCGUGAAGUCGGAAUCGCUAGUAAUCGCGGAUCAGAAUGCCGCGGUGAAUACGUUCCCGGGCCUUGUACACACCGCCCGUCACACCAUGGGAGUUUGUUGCACCAGAAGUAGGUAGUCUAACCGCAAGGAGGACGCUUACCACGGUGUGG
rnacentral:rRNA from 1 species